AGGCCAAGACAGACUUAGGGGUUUAGGUAACCUGAAGCAGGGAGGCCAAGACAGACUUAGGGGUUUAGGUAACCUGAAGCAGGGAGGCCAAGACAGACUUAGGGGUUUAGGUAACCUGAAGCAGGGAGGCCAAGACAGACUUAGGGGUUUAGGUAACCUGAAGCAGGGAGGCCAAGACAGACUUAGGGGUUUAGGUAACCUGAAGCAGGGAGGCCAAGACAGACUUAGGGGUUUAGGUAACCUGAAGCAGGGAGGCCAAGACAGACUUAGGGGUUUAGGUAACCUGAAGCAGGGAGGCCAAGACAGACUUAGGGGUUUAGGUAACCUGAAGCAGGGAGGCCAAGACAGACUUAGGGGUUUAGGUAACCUGAAGCAGGGAGGCCAAGACAGACUUAGGGGUUUAGGUAACCUGAAGCAGGGAGGCCAAGACAGAGUUAGGGGUUUAGGUAACCUGAAGCAGGGAGGCCAAGACAGAGUUAGGGGUUUAGGUAACCUGAAGCAGGGAGGCCAAGACAGAGUUAGGGGUUUAGGUAACCUGAAGCAGGGAGGCCAAGACAGAGUUAGGGGUUUAGGUAACCUGAAGCAGGGAGGCCAAGACAGAGUUAGGGGUUUAGGUAACCUGAAGCAGGGAGGCCAAGACAGACUUAGGGGUUUAGGUAACCUGAAGCAGGGAGGCCAAGACAGAGUUAGGGGUUUAGGUAACCUGAAGCAGGGAGGCCAAGACAGAGUUAGGGGUUUAGGUAACCUGAAGCAGGGAGUUAUCCCCUAUGCUACUGACAAACAGAGUUGAGCGCGAUUAGCAUA